CCUACGGGUGGCAGCAGUGGGGAAUAUUGCACAAUGGGGGGAACCCUGAUGCAGCGACGCCGCGUGAGUGAAGAAGUAAUUCGUUAUGUAAAGCCCUAUCAGCAGGGAAGAAAAUGACGGUACCUGACCAAGAAGCCCCGGCUAACUACGUGCCAGCAGCCGCGGUAAUACGUAGGGGGCAAGCGUUAUCCGGAUUUACUGGGUGUAAAGGGAGCGUAGACGGCAGUGCAAGUCUGGAGUGAAAGGCGGGGGCCCAACCCCCGGACUGCUCUGGAAACUGUGGGGCUGGAGGGCAGGAGAGGUAAGUGGAAUUCCUAGGGUAGCGGUGAAAUGCGUAGAUAUUAGGAGGAACACCGGUGGCGAAGGCGGCUUACUGGACUGUAACUGACGUUGAGGCUCGAAAGCGUGGGGAGCAAACAGGAUUAGAUACCCGAGUAGUC
rnacentral:rRNA from 1 species